UACGUAGGGACCGAGCGUUGUCCGGAUUCAUUGGGCGUAAAGGGUGUGUAGGUGGCGCCGUAAGUCGGGUGUGAAAUCUCGGGGCUUAACUCCGAAACUGCAUUCGAUACUGCGGUGCUUGAGGACUGGAGAGGAGACUGGAAUUCAUGGUGUAGCAGUGAAAUGCGUAGAGAUCAUGAGGAAGACCAGUGGCGAAGGCGGGUCUCUGGACAGUUCCUGACACUGAGGCACGAAGGCCAGGGAGCAAACGGG
rnacentral:rRNA from 1 species